UUUAGAAAACCGCAGUUGUGUGCCCUUCGACGGCGGCGGCGGCGGCAGCGGCAGCGAUGGACAAGGCCGUAAUCUUUACGGAUUAUCGUUUCCUCUUUGACGCUAUCGCCAGGGCGUUCGUUGAACGCUACCACCGGACGUUCGCCCAUUGAACAGACUAUGAAGAGCUCCCCUUUGAUGAUGUCGGCAGCGAUGGACUGGUGCGCGACAUAGAGGAAACGGUAAUCCAUAAUAUUUACGCAUUCCCUUGUCCACUUGCUCGCCCACUUAACAGAGACUAGAAAGAGCUCCUCUUUAACUGCGUCGGCAGCGAUUGACAGCCAAUCACGUUUACAACAACAAGGUUGCGGCUUCGUACAGUGGCUACAAGGGUGGUCUCGGGUUCAUCUUGAUGGACUAAGGACAAUAACUCAUUCAAUGAGCCCCUUGACCAUGCCCACUAAUCGGACCAUAGUACAAAUGACUCAUAAAUCGUGUUUAGUAUCAUAAUAAAUUUAUGUCAUAGAUCUAUUACAAAUGUUGUAUGCCAUGGUACAUGGUUAUGACGCUUUAUCCCAAUGUGAUUGGAUGAUUGUGUGUAUGAAUAUUGUAAUUCAUAAUACAUCCUACAAGUCGUGUCUUUCACCCUUAUAUGCUUCCAGUUGUAAAAUUAGACUACCUUCGAAUGUAAUUCGAGAUUUUUUAAAAUUUGUAAUGUACAAGUAAGAAGAGUGUUAGUCUACUGGAUGGUUAUUGAGAAGGGAGGAGGCCAACAACAUGCGACAACCAAGUAAUCACUUGGAGAAGAUGCAAUUCCUUAGGUAGAUCAUUCGAUCUUCUCAUUGGUUUAAGAAGAUCGUAGUAUACAGGUUAUAAUGAUGUCACAUUUCUUAUUAUGCAUAUGUGUAAUGUAUGUCAUGCUUGUAUGUGAUGCAUGUUCAAUUAGUUAUCAUAAUUAGGUCAUUUUUAUAUGUCUAUCAAAGUUUGGUACUCACUAUCAGCAUGUGGGUAAACUACGGUUGCCCACAUCCAUGACUUACUCCUAUUAAGUUUUAGGAUUCAGUGAGAGAAUCAUUUAAUUAAAAGUAUAAUUAAAUGAUGGAAAUAUGAUAUUUACUUUAGCAUUUCUUGUUGUAGAUAAAUAUGCCGUCUAGUACGUCGAAUACUCUCUCUCUCUCUUUGAUCUGUUCUUGAUAAAGAUAAACUCAAUAGAGUUAAUUUCUUGAACUGGUACAGAAACUUGAGAAUUGUUCUCAAGCAAAAGUGAAAAUUGUACAUCCUAGAGCAAGCUAUUCUUGAAUCAUCCGCCACUAUUGCUACUCGUGUUGAUAGGGAUACUUAUAAGAAACAUCAAGAUGAUGGAUUAUAUGUGUCAUGCUUUAUGCCUGUUACUAUGAACUUUGAGUUUCAGAAGCAAUAUGAGAAUAUGGAUGCUUAUGAUAUAGUUGCACAUUUUAAACAAUUGUAUUAAGGGUAGGCAAGACAUGAGAGAUUUGAAAUAUCUAAGGCUUUAUUUUAAUGUAAGAUGUAGAAAGGAAGUUUCGUUGGAACUCAUGCACUUAAAAUGAUUGGGUAUGUUGAGAACCUUGAACGAUUGAGAUUUUUUUUUUUUUGUCGAGAAUUGACCACUGACCUUUGUUCUGUAGUCGUUACUUGGGAGCUAUAGUUAAUUUGUUAUGAACUACAACAUGAAUGAAAUUGACUAACCAUUAUCUGAGAUGUUAAGCAUGUUGAGAACUGCUGAACUCAAUCUUAAGAAUGCAAAACCUAGUACCAUUUUGAUGGUGCAAAAGGGCAAAGGCAAAUGGAAGCUCAAAGGUAAGAGUAAGAACCAAGCCAAGGGCAACGACAAGUCUCAUGCAUUGAAAUCCAAAGGUAGGAGGGCUAAGGAAUUUGCUUCUAUUGCGAUGAGAUCGGACACUGAAGAGGAAUUGCAAAUUAUAUGUAGAGAAAGUUAAAAGUAUGAGAAGUGAAACUUCUGUCGCAGGCAUAUAUGUUAUUGAAGUCAAUCUAUUCAUUUUUUCUUCAUGGGUAUUAGAUAUUGACUGUGCAUCUCAUAUUUAUACAAAUGUGCAGGGUAUUCGAAAGAGUAAAUCGUUGUCAAAGGGCGAAGUGAACCUACGAGUAGGUAAUGACACAAGAGUUGUUGCUAUAGUUGUAUGAACAUAUUCCUUAUCUUUGUUCAAUGAGCUUAUCUUAGAACUUGAGGAGUAUUAUUAUGUGUUCGUUUUAACUAAGAAUAUUAUCUCUAUUUCUUGUUUAGACAAGAAAGGUUUUUUAUUUGUAAUAAAAGAUAAAUGUUGUUUUGUUUAUUUCAAUAAAAUGUUUUGUUGUAGUA